rnacentral:rRNA from 1 species
CCUACGGGUGGCAGCAGUGGGGAAUAUUGCACAAUGGGGGGAACCCUGAUGCAGCGACGCCGCGUGGGUGAAGGAGCACCUCGGUGCGUAAAGCCCUAUCGGCAGGGAAGAAAGGCGGGCGGGGCCCGUCUGGACGGUACCUGACUAAGAAGCCCCGGCUAACUACGUGCCAGCAGCCGCGGUAAUACGUAGGGGGCAAGCGUUAUCCGGAUUCACUGGGUGUAAAGGGAGCGUAGACGGCGACGCAAGUCUGGAGUGAAAGCCCGGGGCCCAACCCCGGGACUGCUCUGGAAACUGGGGCGCUUGAGUGCGGGAGGGGCAGGUGGAAUUCCUGGUGUAGCGGUGAAAUGCGUAGAUAUCAGGAGGAACACCGGCGGCGAAGGCGGCCUGCUGGACCGUGACUGACGUUGAGGCUCGAGAGCGUGGGGAGCAAACAGGAUUAGAUACCCCUGUAGUC